CAGUAGCCGCGGGAAUACGGAGGGAGCUAGCGUUGUUCGGAAUUACUGGGCGUAAAGCGCACGUAGGCGGCUUUGUAAGUCAGAGGUGAAAGCCUGGAGCUCAACUCCAGAACUGCCUUUGAGACUGCAUCGCUUGAAUCCAGGAGAGGUGAGUGGAAUUCCGAGUGUAGAGGUGAAAUUCGUAGAUAUUCGGAAGAACACCAGUGGCGAAGGCGGCUCACUGGACUGGUAUUGACGCUGAGGUGCGAAAGCGUGGGGAGCAAACAGGAUUAGAUACCCGCGUAGUCCCUGUCUCUUAUAU
rnacentral:rRNA from 1 species